UGGUUCAGGACGAACGCUGGCGGCGUGCUUAACACAUGCAAGUCGAACGAUGAACCCGGAGCUUGCUCUGGGGAAUUAGUGGCGAACGGGUGAGUAACACGUGAGUAACCUGCCCUUGACUCUGGGAUAACCUCCGGAAACGGAAGCUAAUACCGGAUACGACGUACGGAGGCAUCUCCUGUACGUGGAAAGAACUUCGGUCAAGGAUGGACUCGCGGCCUAUCAGGUAGUUGGUGAGGUAACGGCCCACCAAGCCUACGACGGGUAGCCGGCCUGAGAGGGUGACCGGCCACACUGGGACUGAGACACGGCCCAGACUCCUACGGGAGGCAGCAGUGGGGAAUAUUGCACAAUGGGCGCAAGCCUGAUGCAGCAACGCCGCGUGAGGGAUGACGGCCUUCGGGUUGUAAACCUCUUUUAGUAGGGAAGAAGCGAAAGUGACGGUACC
rnacentral:rRNA from 1 species